rnacentral:misc_RNA from 1 species
AGAAGUGCUUAGCCUGCUUA